rnacentral:rRNA from 1 species
AGAGCGAACGCUGGCGGCAGGCCUAAUACAUGCAAGUCGAACGGAUCCUUCGGGAUUAGUGGCGGACGGGUGAGUAACACGUGGGAACGUGCCCUUUGGUUCAGAACAACUCAGGGAAACUUGAGCUAAUACUGGAUAAGCCCUCAUCCUUAAACAGAUGAGUGGGAAAGAUUUAUCGCCAUUGGAGCGGCCCGCGUCUGAUUAGCUAGUUGGUAGGGUAAAGGCCUACCAAGGCUUCGAUCAGUAGCUGGUCUGAGAGGAUGAUCAGCCACACUGGGACUGAGACACGGCCCAGACUCCUACGGGAGGCAGCAGUAGGGAAUUUUUUCUCAAUGGGCGAAAGCCUGAAGGAGCGACGCCGCGUGGGGGAUGAAUGGCUUCGGCCCGUAAACCCUGUCAUUUGUGAACAAAUUAAUCUACCUAACAUGUGGAUUAUUGAUAGUAACGGAAGAGGAAGGGACGGCUAACUCUGUGCCAGCAGCCGC